CCUACGGGUGGCAGCAGUCGAGAAUCAUUCACAAUGGGGGAAACCCUGAUGGUGCGACGCCGCGUGGGGGAAUGAAGGUCUUCGGAUUGUAAACCCCUGUCAUGUGGGAGCAAAUUAAAAAGAUAGUACCCCAAGAGGAAGAGACGGCUAACUCUGUGCCAGCAGCCGCGGUAAUACAGAGGUCUCAAGCGUUGUUCGGAAUCACUGGGCGUAAAGCGUGCGUAGGCUGUUUCGUAAGUCGUGUGUGAAAGGCGCGGGCUCAACCCGCGGACGGCACAUGAUACUGCGAGACUAGAGUAAUGGAGGGGGAACCGGAAUUCUCGGUGUAGCAGUGAAAUGCGUAGAUAUCGAGAGGAACACUCGUGGCGAAGGCGGGUUCCUGGACAUUAACGGACGCUGAGGCACGAAGGCCAGGGGAGCGAAAGGGAUUAGAUACCCUUGUAGUC
rnacentral:rRNA from 1 species